GCCUGGGUGGCUCAGUCGGUUGAGUGCCUGACUUUGGCUCAGGUCAUAAUCUCAGGGUUCAUGGGUUGGAGCCCGUGUUGGGCU
rnacentral:tRNA from 1 species